rnacentral:tRNA from 1 species
GCCGCCAUAACUUAGCUGGUAGAGUGCUCGGCUGUUAACCGAGUUGUCACAGGUUCGAGUCCUGUUGGCGGCG